GGGGUUGUGGCUCAGUGGUAGAGCACUUGCCUAGCAUGUAUGAGGCCCUGGGUUCGAUCCUCAGCACCACA
rnacentral:tRNA from 1 species